GGUGUAGAUAGCCUAGAGAAUAAGGGGGGGGCCAAGUCUGGUUUCAGCCCGCCCGCGGUAAUUCCAGCUCCUCGAGUGGUUAGGACGUUUAUUGGGCCUAAAGCAUCCGUAGCCGGUUUUAUUGGUCUUCUAUUAAAUCUAAUAGCUUAACUAUUUGACUGUAGGGGAUACCAUAAGACUAGGAGGCGGGAGAGGCGGACGGUAUUUUGUGGGUAGGGGUAAAAUCCUUUGAUCCAUAGAGGACCACCAGUGGCGAAGGCGGUCCGCCAGAACGCGCUCGACGGUGAGGGAUGAAAGCUGGGGGAGCGAACCGGAUUAGAAUCCCGGGUAGUCCCAGCUGUAACCGAUGCAAGCUAGGUGGAUGGGAUGAUUUAAGUCAUCCCUGUGCCGCAGGGAAGCCGUUAAGCUUGCCGCCUGGGGAGUACGGUCGCAAGACUGAAACUUAAAGGAAUAGGCGGGGGAGCACCACAAGGGGUGAAGCCUGCGGUUCAAUUGGAGUCAACGCCGGGAAUCUUACCGGGAGAGACAGCAGGGUGAAAGUCAAGCUGAAGACUUUACUAGACAAGCUGAGAGGAGGUGCAUGGCCGUCGUCAGCUCGUGCCGUGAGGCGUCCUGUUAAGUCAGGUAACGGGCGAGAUCCUUGUUGUUAAUUGCUAGUAUUAUCCUUACGGGUAGUAAGGCUAAUUAACAAGACUGCUGGCGAUAAGUCGGAGGAAGGAAAGGGCAACGGCAGGUCAGUAUGCCCCGAAACUCCCGGGCUACACGCGGGCUGCAAUGGUAAAGACAAUAGGUUCCAACUUCGAAAGGAGAAGGCAAUCCG
rnacentral:rRNA from 1 species